rnacentral:rRNA from 1 species
CCGGAAAAAAGGGGUGGUGGGGGGGAGGACCCGNGGUUUUUUUGCCCCUCCCCACUCUUGGGGGGUGCACAGCCUGCCUUUUUCCCCCCUCUUUUUCUCCUCAUCCUCAUCUUUUAAACGCUUUCCCACGUGUGUUGGGAGAGUGGAGGAGGAAGUGUGUGUGUUGGAGGAAGAAGGGCAGUGGGAGAAAUAUGGUGAGNGCUUGUGUGCGANCGCAGGCGUGUUGGCCACGGCUCCCACAGAGCGACGCCGA